rnacentral:rRNA from 1 species
AGCGAACGCUGGCGGCAGGCUUAACACAUGCAAGUCGAGCGGGCAUCCUUGUGGUGUCAGCGGCAGACGGGUGAGUAACGCGUGGGAACGGGCCCUUCGGUUCGGAAUAACUCAGGGAAACUUGAGCUAAUACCGGAUACGUGCGAGAGCAGAAAGGUUUAUCUGCCGAAGGAUCGGCCCGCGUCUGAUUAGCUAGUUGGUGAGGUUAUGGCUCACCAAGGCGACGAUCAGUAGCUGGUCUGAGAGGAUGAUCAGCCACACUGGGACUGAGACACGGCCCAGACUCCUACGGGAGGCAGCAGUGGGGAAUAUUGGACAAUGGGGGCAACCCUGAUCCAGCCAUGCCGCGUGAGUGAUGACGGCCUUAGGGUUGUAAAGCUCUUUUCUCCGGGACGAUAAUGACGGUACCGGAGGAAUAAGCCCCGGCUAACUUCGUG